rnacentral:rRNA from 1 species
CAGCAGCCGCGGGAACACGGAGGGAGCUAGCGUUGUUCGGAAUUACUGGGCGUAAAGCGCGCGUAGGCGGUUACUCAAGUCAGAGGUGAAAGCCCGGGGCUCAACCCCGGAACUGCCUUUGAAACUAGGUGACUAGAAUCUUGGAGAGGUCAGUGGAAUUCCGAGUGUAGAGGUGAAAUUCGUAGAUAUUCGGAAGAACACCAGUGGCGAAGGCGACUGACUGGACAAGUAUUGACGCUGAGGUGCGAAAGCGUGGGGAGCAAACAGGAUUAGAUACCCGAGUAGUCCCUGUCUCUUAUAA